rnacentral:lncRNA from 1 species
AGCGCUGGAAUCCGGCUCCACCACAGCACAUUUUCAUCAUUUCUCCAUGGGGCUCGAACCUUUCAGCUCCUCCUUUCUCCAGUUCCAGCCCUGGCUUUUCCCUUUCUGUAAAUGACCUUGGAUAUCAGACAGUCUCAAAAGCGCUUCAUAUCAUUCUACUCUGAGCUCAUAGAGUAGGGCCCUUCUGCCUCUCCAAAAUUUAACCACAUUGUUUUGUUUUGUUUUAUCUCACAAUGCUUUAUUUUAUGUAGAUGGAUUGACUGACUGACUCUGUGUGUGUGUGUAGUGUGUGUGUGUAUAUGUGUGUGUGUGUUAGUACACAUGUGUAGGUCCAAGGGCAAUGUGUGUGAGGGAUUUCUUUUUCUCUUUCCACUAUGUGAAUCCCAUGGAUCGAAUUCAAUUGUCCAGGUUUGGGGACAAGUGCCUUUACAAAAUGAGCUACCUCCUCAGACUAGCUUUUAUUUGUUUAAAACAUAGCAAUGAUCUACCAUUGCAAUUUAGUUUGUUCUCACACAUUACAGUACAAGCCCCAUGUCUUCCCUGUUCUCGACCUUCUCUUUGGGUUCUAGGAUAAUGCCUGGCUUAUACAUGGCAUUCAACGAGUAUUUGUUAAACGGAUUAUUGGUUGUGAUUUCCUAGUCACUGGCUUCUAAAUGCUACUUGUAAUAUUCUGAGUAUUCGCCUUUGAAUUUUAAAUUUAUUUGUAUGCCCAUAUGCUUCCUCUUCUCAAGUGUGAACUCCAUGAGGUGGGAUCGCAUUUAGUUCAUUUCAUUUUCUACAGCCUUAUGGAGUCUGGCACAUUACAGGUGUUUAAUAUAUUUGUUGGGUAAAAAUUGCCAUAAGGGAAAGGAUAAUACAUUGACUCAAUUCGACCUUGUCCCAGGUCUAACCUUUCACCAGAGAAGACGAGAUGAAUACUGAUGCCCAAAGGGAUAGAUUGCCACUUUGAUCCCUCUCUCCUCCUCGCACACUUGUUUGCUGUAUUUUCAAAGGAUAUCCUCAUCUUUGUUAUUUUAUUUGAUCUUCAUGCCAGCUGGUAUCUAGGAACAGAGGCUCGGGGUAUUAACUGACCUGCUCAAGCUUACCCAGCUAAAAUGAAGCAGACAGGGCUACAGGAUGCUAAUUUCAUAUACUUGCAUACCAGCAUUUGUGAAUAGCUUCCUUCCUCAACCAUAUUUGUGGUUCAAAUGGAAUCCUAAAUUCAAAACAUCUUCAGUCAGGUCUAACACAUUCCAGGCUCCCAAUAAAUGGCCCUUCCUUCCUUUUAGUUACACAACAGUUGUUCCUUUUCAUCAAACCAUCCCCAUAAAGUGCUUCUAUAGACACGUCAUAUUUUCCCAGGCUAGACUGACCUUUCAGAUCCCCCUAAUGGUAUAAUUUUAGUGUGUAAUAUUAAUUAGAUAUGUUCACAGAGCUGAGCCAUAUUAAAAUGGGUUGUUGUUCACUU